UAUACAUUUUGUACUGCUUCACUCUUUCCAAAAAGUGUUGAUCUUAAUGUGCGAUAGCACCUCAUACACGUGAGAUGGUAAUUCUGUUUGGUUUGUAGUCUGAGUGGGAAAGCCAUGUUACGGAUGAGCCCUUGAGACAUCAUGCUCCUUAUUGGAAAACACUGAUAUUCUUUUUUGUGUCCUCAAAAUAUCUCUGUGGACCUCUGCUCAGAAACUACCUCUGAACCAUGUGUCAUCAAUAGUUUCUUUUUAGUGUGAACAAGAUGGUAGCCUGUAUCUUGCAUCUAGGUGCAUAUACACCUCUGAGAAUGUUUUCUACCUCAAAGAAAUGAUUUCUGUCUUGUCAGAACAGUUAUUUUUCUAACACAGUCUCUGAUGCAAAUAUAAUUUUAUUUCGGAAUGCAUACUUGCUACGACUAGACCCAUAGCACAUUUUCGGAGUAAUUUACCAGACAUUACACUUUAGUGAUUAACGCUUUUUAAUAGAGUUACUCAGCCUUUUGUAAUGGGAAAAUUGUGAAAGUCGUCAAAAUGGGAAAAAUGCAAUCACGGGGUAUUCCUGCUUGGGGGACCCUUUCUCUGUCAUUGUCAUUGAAUGACAUCAAGCUAAUGC